UACGAAGGGGGCGAGCGUUGUUCGGAAUCACUGGGCGUAAAGGGCGUGUAGGCGGGUAGGCAAGUCGGGCGUGAAAUCCCUGAGCUCAACUCAGGAACUGCACUCGAAACUGACGAGCUUGAGUGCCGGAGAGGGUCGCGGAAUUCCCGGUGUAGAGGUGAAAUUCGUAGAUAUCGGGAGGAACACCAGAGGCGAAGGCGGCGACCUGGAAGGUAACUGACACUGAGCAGCGAAAGCGUGGGUAGCAAACAGG
rnacentral:rRNA from 1 species